rnacentral:rRNA from 1 species
AGAGUUUGAUCAUGGCUCAGGACGAACGCUGGCGGUAUGCUUAACACAUGCAAGUCGAACGAGAAGCUUUUUAAUGAUCCUUCGGGUGAACUAAGAAGUGGAAAGUGGCGAACGGGUGAGUAACGCGUGGGUAACCUGCCUCAUGGAAAGGAAUAGCCUCGGGAAACUGGGAGUAAAGCCUUAUAUUAUUGAGUUGUCGCAUGGCAAUUCGAUGAAAACUCCGGUGCCAUGAGAUGGACCCGCGUCCCAUUAGCUAGUUGGUGAGAUAACAGCCCACCAAGGCAACGAUGGGUAACCGGUCUGAGAGGGCGAACGGUCACACUGGAACUGAGACACGGUCCAGACUCCUACGGGAGGCAGCAGUGGGGAAUAUUGCGCAAUGGGGGAAACCCUGACGCAGCAAUACCGCGUGAGUGAAGAAGGUUUUCGGAUCGUAAAACUCUUUUAUUGGGGAAGAAGAAGUGACGGUACCCAAUGAAGAAGUCCCGGCUAACUACGUGCCAGCAGCCGCGGUAAUACGUAGGGGACAAGCGUUGUCCGGAAUCACUGGGCGUAAAGGGCGCGUAGGCGGUUUUAUAAGUCAGAUGUGAAAGGUACCGGCUCAACCGGUGACGUGCAUUUGAAACUGUAAGACUUGAGUACUGGAGAGGCAAGUGGAAUUCCUAGUGUAGCGGUGAAAUGCGUAGAUAUUAGGAGGAACACCGGUGGCGAAGGCGGCUUGCUGGACAGAUACUGACGCUGAGGUGCGAAAGCGUGGGGAGCGAACAGGAUUAGAUACCCUGGUAGUCCACGCCGUAAACGAUGAUGACUAGGUGUUGGGGAAACUCAGUGCCGCAGUUAACACAUUAAGUCAUCCGCCUGGGGAGUACGACCGCAAGGUUGAAACUCAAAGGAAUUGACGG